rnacentral:rRNA from 1 species
AAGAUAGACACCGAAUUUGUAGAUUGUGUUAAACACAGUGGUAGAAGAGCGUUCAUACCAGCGUUGAAGGUAUACCGGUAAGGAGUGCUGGAGCGGUAUGAAGUGAGCAUGCAGGAAUGAGUAACGAUAAGAUAUAUGAGAAUUGUAUCCGCCGUAAAUCUAAGGUUUCCUACGCGAUGGUCGUCAUCGUAGGGUUAGUCGGGUCCUAAGCCGAGUCCGAAAGGGGUAGGUGAUGGCAAAUUGGUUAAUAUUCCAAUACCGACUAUGGAGCGUGAUGGGGGGACGCAUAGGGUUAAGCGAGCUAGCUGAUGGAAGUGCUAGUCUAAGGGCGUAGAUUGGAGGGAAGGCAAAUCCACCUCUGUAUUUGAAACCCAAACAGGCUCUUUGAGUCCUUUUAGGACAAAGGGAGAAUCGCUGAUACCGUCGUGCCAAGAAAAGCCUCUAAGUAUAUCCAUAGUCGUCCGUACCGCAAACCGACACAGGUAGAUGAGAUGAGUAUUCUAAGGCGCGUGAAAGAACUCUGGUUAAGGAACUCUGCAAACUAGCACCGUAAGUUCGCGAUAAGGUGUGCCGCAGCA